CAAAUCCCAAAAGUUGGGGAAAAAUAAAGAGGAUGAAAAUUUGAAAAAAUUAACAAGAUAUACAGGAGAAUGGAUUUAAUUAUACUAGAGAGCAAAUAGCUGGUCUAUUAUGUAUGCUUUGUUAUAUAUAAAAUCAAUCUCUUUUUUUCCUAUUUUUAUUUUCUCAUAUACCUGCCUAUUGUAGCAAAUUUUGCUGUCAUCUUUCCAGAUUAAACUUACGUGUAAAUGAUAAAAGAAGAAUGCUUAACUCCAAGCAUCAUAAAUUUACACUUUAAUAAUUGUAAGGAGUAAAGCUAAAAUGUUGGGCACUGAUAUUUGAUAGGAAUUCACCGACCAACUGCCACUGAAAUACGAAAGUGUUCAAAGUCUCAGAAAGACUGAAUAAAUUUCAACUGAGAUUAACUCUGGAGAACUUUAUGGUCAGAUAGGAAUAGAAAUACAUUACUGCUUAGAAAUGAGUUACACAUUCUUAUAAAAAUAGUAUAUGUACAUGUGGUUUGGUUUGAGCUACAGGGAAAAGAAAACAAUCUUUUGGACUCUGGAGCCCUUUUAUGAAAUUUCUAAUUAAUUUUGAUAAAUCCCUUUUAAUAUGGCAAGGAGUUCCACUUGGGUUUAUCAAUUUAAGAGUUAUACUUGUACUCAGUGGACUAGAAUCUGCCCUAAGCUAGUUAUGCACAACACCUGCUAGAGCUAAUAGAAGUUCCACAUGAGUAGCUGAUUUUUGCCAUAGAGUCAUGUGGAAUUAACUAAUAAUGAAAUUUGGCUGACACUAUCUCAAUUUUUUUUCCAUUUAAAGAGCACUUAUUACCUUGCAUUGCCCCCUACAUAAUUAACUAUUUUAAUAUACACUCUGUACAUUUCAGAUAUGUCAUCACUUUUUCUCUGGUAUUAUGUAAUCAGGCAAAUAAAAUUUAAGGUUUUAUUUCCUAAUUUUAAUUACAAAUGAGCAGCAGCA
rnacentral:lncRNA from 1 species